rnacentral:lncRNA from 1 species
UGCAAUAAGCGACUGUAAAGUUAACCAUGUAGUAUAAAGGCAUAUAAUGCAACAACAACAACAACAAAAUUAAAAGUUAGCCCUUACUCAAAAAGACAUGCUUACCAUAAAAGAGGAAGAUAUAGGAGGGGGAAGGUGCCUAAAGGUCAUUAUUUGAUCAAAUAAGACAAAGAAAUACGAUAGUUCACUAGACACAGAGAGAAACUUAACCACUGAGACUAUGCUUUUAAGUUUCUGAAACUCAAUAAUAGAAUGAUGUCAGAAGGGAAGUUAACAUCAAAUUUUCUCUUCUUACCAUGUUCUCUUUGUCUUCUAAGAGGGCUCUCUCGGGAGUGCAUGCAUUAGCAGGACCUAUGAUAAAAAGAAAGUUCUAAGUUAACACCAAAUUUUCUCUUCUUACUAUAUUCUCUUUGUCUUCUGGGAGGACUCUCUCUG